GCGAAAACUUUACAAUGCUGGCAACAGCGAUAAGGGAACCUCGAGUGCCAGGUUGCAAAUCUGGCUGUCGAGAUGCCUAAAAAGCAUUUCAUAGCAAGGGCCGGGCAAGACCGGUGCCAGCCGCCGCGGUAACACCGGCGGCUCGAGUGGUAACCGUUAUUAUUGGGUCUAAAGGGUCUGUAGCCGGCCGGAUAAGUCUCUUGAGAAAUCUGGCAGCUUAACUGUCAGGCUUUCAGGAGAUACUGUCUGGCUCGAAGCCGGGAGAGGUGAGAGGUACUUCAGGGGUAGGGGUGAAAUCUUGUAAUCCUGGAAGGACAACCAGUGGCUAAGGCGUCUCACCAGAACGGACCUGACGGCAAGGGACGAAAGCUAGGGGCACGAACC
rnacentral:rRNA from 1 species